rnacentral:tRNA from 1 species
GGGAAUGUAGCUUAAUGGUAGAGCGCUUGUCUAGCAUGCAUGAAGCCCUAGGUUCAAUUCCUUAGUACCA